GUUUUACUCACACAGCUUUCUUGCAAAGAGAAGUCCUUUAUGGACAAUUUGGAUGGCAGCGCAUAUGCAACAGAUUCAAAAACCGCAAAUCAUAGGCACUGAUACACCUUCAUCUAUCGAUCAACAGAUAAUCAUCUCAAGAGUUGUGAAGAGAUUAUACUGACAGGGAGUCACGGCUACUGGAUCAGACUUCCAAGGCUCCCUACCCUAUUAUUGGGACCUUCGAGUAGUAUGAUUUUGGAUAUUGGAUAUGGCAUCCAGUGAUUUGGGUGCACCUACUUAUCGCAAAUUUGAUGUUGAGGCAUGGAUGCCAGGUCUUGGACGGUAUGGCGAGAUAUCAAGUGCAUCAAAUUGUACUGAUUAUCAAAGCCGGCGGUUAGGUGUAAGGUUCCGUCCAUCUGACUCAUCAGCCAAUCCUAAGAAGGGUAAGGCUAGCCUUGCACCGACACAAUUUGUGCAUACACUUAAUGCAACUGCAUGUGCAGUCCCUCGGAUUAUUGUCUGCUUACUGGAGAACUUUCAGCAAGAAGACGGCUCUGUUAUCAUUUCUGAGCCUUUGAGACCCUUCAUGGGUGGGCUUCAUUGCAUCAAC